GACGAACGCUGGCGGCGUGCUUAACACAUGCAAGUCGAACGAUGAAGCCCAGCUUGCUGGGUGGAUUAGUGGCGAACGGGUGAGUAACACGUGGGUGAUCUGCCCUGCACUCUGGGAUAAGCCUGGGAAACUGGGUCUAAUACCGGAUAUGACCUCUUGCUGCAUGGCGAGGGGUGGAAAGUUUUUCGGUGCAGGAUGAGCCCGCGGCCUAUCAGCUUGUUGGUGGGGUAAUGGCCUACCAAGGCGACGACGGGUAGCCGGCCUGAGAGGGCGACCGGCCACACUGGGACUGAGACACGGCCCAGACUCCUACGGGAGGCAGCAGUGGGGAAUAUUGCACAAUGGGCGCAAGCCUGAUGCAGCGACGCCGCGUGAGGGAUGACGGCCUUCGGGUUGUAAACCUCUUUCACCCAUGACGAAGCGCAAGUGACGGUAGUGGGAGAAGAAGCACCGGCCAACUACGUGCCAGCCGCCGCCGUAA
rnacentral:rRNA from 1 species